CAUCGUUGGGACCCUUUCAACAGCAUGGCAGGAAUUUCCUGUCAUUGAUCAAGCCCCACCUAUUCAGCUGAUGAGCCAGAGGAGAAACCCGAUCACCUAACAAGAAAGAAGCAGAGGAGAGAGGGAGCAUAAAAUGAGAGAAAUGCAUGAAGCAGGGGAAAAUUAAGACCUCAAACGGAGAAAAAAAGACAUCUUAUCAGAAUACAUCAGCC